UGCCUCUGCGUUUUUGUGGGUGUGGUACUAAGUGUAUCUUGUUUACCUUAUCUUUCUGUGGAAAAAGUUUUGAAGUCUCGUUAGGUUUGUCACAUCAUGCCUGUUGCCUAGCACCACCAGAAGUGUUCUCUUCCAGCAACAAAGACUGGAUAGGUAGGAGGUUGUCCUAGGA
ensembl:misc_RNA